AGCAUACUCCUUAGAUCCAUUCCUGAUACCCAAAGGAAUGACUGAGUCAUAAGUGUGCAAAAUUACAAUAUCUCCAAUGGGUAGCUGAUGAUUAAAACUCACUAUUAUAAUGUGAUUUUUAUAGCUAUUUUUUGGGGAACAA